rnacentral:rRNA from 1 species
ACGCUAGCUACAGGCUUAACACAUGCAAGUCGAGGGGAAACGGCAUUAAGUGCUUGCACUUUUUGGACGUCGACCGGCGCACGGGUGAGUAACGCGUAUCCAACCUUCCCAUGACUAAGGGAUAACCUGCCGAAAGGCAGACUAAUACCUUAUGGUCUUCACUGACGGCAUCAGAUGUGAAGUAAAGAUUUAUCGGUUAUGGAUGGGGAUGCGUCUGAUUAGUUAGUUGGCGGGGUAACGGCCCACCAAGGCAACGAUCAGUAGGGGUUCUGAGAGGAAGGUCCCCCACAUUGGAACUGAGACACGGUCCAAACUCCUACGGGAGGCAGCAGUGAGGAAUAUUGGUCAAUGGGCGAGAGCCUGAACCAGCCAAGUAGCGUGCAGGAUGACGGCCCUAUGGGUUGUAAACUGCUUUUGUAUGGGGAUAAAGUCAAUCACGUGUGAUUGUUUGCAGGUACCAUACGAAUAAGGACCGGCUAAUUCCGUGCCAGCAGCCGCGGUAAUACGGAAGGUCCGGGCGUUAUCCGGAUUUAUUGGGUUUAAAGGGAGCGUAGGCUGGAGAUUAAGUGUGUUGUGAAAUGUAGACGCUCAACGUCUGACUUGCAGCGCAUACUGGUUUCCUUGAGUACGCACAACGUUGGCGGAAUUCGUCGUGUAGCGGUGAAAUGCUUAGAUAUGACGAAGAACUCCGAUCGCGAAGGCAGCUGACGGGAGCGCAACUGACGCUGAAGCUCGAAGGUGCGGGUAUCGAACAGGAUUAGAUACCCUGGUAGUCCGCACAGUAAACGAUGGAUGCCCGCUGUUGGUACGUGGUAUCAGCGGCUAAGCGAAAGCAUUAAGCAUCCCACCUGGGGAGUACGCCGGCAACGGUGAAACUCAAAGGAAUUGACGGGGGCCCGCACAAGCGGAGGAACAUGUGG